UGUGAUAAAAUAUCAUGACCUAGAGAAACUC
rnacentral:piRNA from 1 species